UUUUUAUUGUACACGGUAACAGCAGCUUGUUUGAAGGUUUCGAGUGGACAACUAUAGAGGUUAUUUAUUUUGUUAGCAAUAAAGUGAUUCCGCUUUAAGUUUGUUGGCCUUUCAAAGCAAUUUAACUGCUUUUAGAAACGUGUUAUCUGCCUAAAAUGUCUCAUUGUCAUCUGGUGCUGUGUAUUUCUCGAGAAAUAUUGCCUUCAUUCUUGCCACCAAAGGAUAACUGAUGGAAACGUGCUAGAUAUCGAAUUGAGCAUUCUACCCUUCCCUUCGAAAGGUUUCCGGCCGGGUUUUGUCGGGGUUCCUCCAGAUUGGUGGGAUUAGAAUUGUCUCAACCAACAGACAGACUGGGGGGAAGGACAAGCGAAGCCCUUGAACAACUUUUUGUCACAUUCACAUGAUUCCGGUUGCCUUUCAGUUCGGUUCCGAGCUGGAGAGUGGGAAGACCGAAUCGUCGUACUGCAUGCAAGUCAAUAAUGGAAGCUUACCCAUCGAGGGUGACAUAUGUUCGAAAUAUCAUUUUGAUAAGGAAAUGAUGACCCAGGUGCCAUCGGGUACCACUCGGUUCCGCCAGCCGAAGCAUGGUGCUAGGAAUGCGGGCCCACUUGAAAGACAAUGAGAGUGUUAUGUGAUAUGUGCUGAUGUUGGCUAAAGGGACACCACGGAAGGAAGGAAGCCAAGUAGGGGAAGCGUUUGAAAUGGAAAGGAACUGUAGAUGGAAGAAAGGGCUCCCUGAGACAGAAAAAAUAGGGGGAACUAAUCCCAACUGGACCCAGCUGGGUGGGGCGUGCUGUUGCGUUUGGAGUUGAGGUUCGAUAUCCGGAACACAUCUCCUCUCGGUUGCGACCGUAAAGUAUGGUAACCCGCAGGACUAUUUCAACACGUGAGAAGCAGGUUGACAGGAAGGAAGCCGGAUUCGAGUGGUUCCUUCAUUAGGCGCAAGAUGGUGGGAGGUAAACGGAAGACACGAGUGCGUUCUUCCGUUCGUUUUUUGUUUUGUUGCUCAAACCCCGGAAUUAGGAGCACGUAUAAUCGACACUCGACCGGAUGGUAUUAAUUACAAAAUUUCAAGUGUAAUUUAAUAAACUCGCUCACUCGGUUUCUGAUCCGGUUCAUUGA